rnacentral:rRNA from 1 species
AACGAACGCUGGCGGCAGGCCUAACACAUGCAAGUCGAACGCUCGUAGCAAUACGGGAGUGGCGCACGGGUGAGUAACGCGUGGGAACGUGCCCUUUAGUUUGGGAUAACAGCUGGAAACGGCUGCUAAUACCAAAUACGCCCUUCGGGGGAAAGAUUUAUCGCUAAAGGAUCGGGCCGCGUAAGAGUAGGUAGUUGGUGGGGUAAUGGCCUACCAAGCCUUCGAUCUUUAGCUGGUCUGAGAGGAUGAUCAGCCACACUGGAACUGAGACACGGUCCAGACUCCUACGGGAGGCAGCAGUGGGGAAUAUUGGACAAUGGGGGAAACCCUGAUCCAGCCAUGCCGCGUGAACGAUGAAGGCCUUAGGGUUGUAAAGUUCUUUUGUCAGGGAAGAUGAUGACGGUACCUGACGAAUAAGCACCGGCUAACUUCGUGCCAGCCGCCGCCGUAA